AACUUUUGACGGUGGAUCUCUUGGCUCACGCAUCGAUGAAGAACGCAGCCAGCUGCGAUAAGUAGUGUGAAUUGCAGAAUUCAGUGAAUCAUCGAAUCUUUGAACGCAAAUGGCGCUCUUGGGUUCUCCCAGGAGCAUGUCUGUCUGAGUGUCGAUUGUCAUCCAUC
rnacentral:rRNA from 1 species